GAGGAGAGGAGAGAGAGAGAGGAGAGAGGAGAGGAGAGGAGAGGAGAGGAGGAGAAUCCCAGGUAGAGGGCAGGACACUGGAGGCUGAGGAGGAGAGGAGAGGAGGAGGGAGGAGAGCUCUGGGGCCAUCCCAGGUAGAGGGCAGGAUACUGGAGGCUGAGGAGGAGAUGAGAGGGGGAGAAGCGGAGAGGAGAGGAGGAGAGGAGAAGAGGAGAGGAGGAGAGCUCUGGUGCUAUCCCAGGUAGAGGGCAGGAUACUGGAGGCUGAGGAGGAGAGGAGAGGGGGAGAAGCGGAGAGGAGAGGAGGAGAGGAGAAGAGGAGAAGAUGAGAGGAGGAGAGCUCUGGUGCUAUCCCAGGUAGAGGGCAGGAUACUGGAGGCUGAGGAGGAGAGGAGAGGAGAGGAGGAGAGCUCUGCUGCCAUCCCAGGUAGAGGGCAGGAUACUGGAUGCUUGCAUGAAGCAGGAAUAUGGUGCAAUGCUGUGUCCCAAAACUAGCUGGACCCCUGCCUGCUUCUCUAUCUGUGGUGUCAUUUACUGUAUGAAGCUUUGGUCUGCAUGUCACGGAGACACUCAUCCUAUAAUAGAGGUCAUGGAGACACUCAUCCCAUCAUAGAGGUCAUGGAGACACUCAUCCCAUAAUAGAGGUCACGGAGACACUCA
ensembl:lncRNA